AUGAUAGGUGCAAUUAUCUCUCCGUGUAGCUCAACCUCGAAUCGCUUGUCCUGGGCAGCCGUGGUCUCGGCCAGAUUCAGAGGUCUAAAUAAGCAUUACCGUGCAGUUUAUGAACACUUUCGGUUUGUAGUUCUGUUCCCGUCUGGUAUAUUCAGAAAUGGCAUAGCUUUCAUCAGUUUGGUAGUUCCGUUCCCGGCGGAUACAUUCAGAAACGACAUUCACCAGAAACCAUGCCUUGCCGGUGUUUAUAGCAUUAUAAAACGUACUACAUCAGAACAUGCGUGCCAUUUAACGAGAAAGGUGAAAACGUGGACGGGCAUUAUGCUCAUUAGGACAUGA
rnacentral:rRNA from 1 species